GAUGAAGAACGUAGUGAAAUGCGAUAAGUAAUGUGAAUUGCAGAAUUCAGUGAAUCAUCGAAUCUUUGAACGCACAUUGCGCCCCUUGGUAUUCCGGGGGGCAUGCCUGUUCGAGCGUCAUUUCAACCCUCAAGCUCAGCUUGGUAUUGAGUCCAUGUCAGUAAUGGCAGGCUCUAAAAUCAGUGGCGGCGCCGCUGGGUCCUGAACGUAGUAAUAUCUCUCGUUACAGGUUCUCGGUGUGCUUCUGCCAAAACCCAAAUUUUCUAUGGUUGACCUCGGAUCAGGUAGGGAUACCCGCUGAACUUAAGCAUAUCAAAAGCGGAGGA
rnacentral:misc_RNA from 1 species